AUGAGGACAGAGUGCAGACACCCAUCUGUGCCAACUAGAGGAUGCAUCUCCCUUUGUUCUCUUGCUGCAGUCAGCUUCUAUAGCAUUGACAUGAACUUUUCGCUCUUCUACACAACUGAGAGAGCUCCUGAUUACUAUGAUGCAAGGAAGCUUAUAGAAAACUGGUUUAGUGUCAUAUUUGCAGGUGAAGAACUAGUUGUGACGGACUUUAAAAUCAGGGUUAACUCUCCACAAAGCAAUGUGUACAAGAGGACCCGUGUAUGUAACUUGUUAUUUUCUGGUUUAAAAACAUAACUUUUCUUACCUUUGCACUGAGGAUAUUGUAGUUACACGGUCUAAAUGCUAAUCCUACUGUGUUCUGUAGAAAGCAUUAAAUGUAAUGUACUCCAUGUAAAUCAAUGGACUGGAGAGUCACUGUGUCUGAACAGACAUUGGAAUGCUCUCUGUAAGAUGAAGGCAGGACAUGCCCAGCACUCUUUGCAAUCAGUCUGCUUUGGAAGACCCUUUGGGUGAGCGCAGUGACUGAGCAAUGUUAGAUAUGGAUCUACUCUGCUCUCCACAUGAAUCAGUGUCCAUGCACUGGGAGUUUCUGUUUUGUCUCCGUAUGUCCCAGAAGCACUCUGAAACAAAGGCCACUCUAGAUAGUCAUUUAAGACAUUAGGCUCUAUUUUAAUGAACACCUGGGGUUUCUGCUGUUCCAAUCACCCUUGCACCAGCUGAUUCUAACCAGCUUUUAACUUUCUGUGUCCUAUCCAAACCGAAGAUGAAGACAAAGCAGAUGUCACAAAGGUAAGACUUGUGUUUAUAAACUGGAUUUUUCUAGUUCCCACUGAUUUAAUAAGAAAAUCCUGCUUCCUGCUAUGAACCUGAUCAUAAAUACAGAUCACACAUCAGAUAUUUUAGUUUCAGGGUAGAGUGGGGAACCUUUAUUUGCAUAAACCAGAAAAACACGUGUAGAUUCAGAAUCAGUAAUGCUUAAGUCAGAGAAAUGUAUCUGAGCAUCCAAGGUUUUCCUCUUAUGGCCCAUAUCCUGGGGAUCUUGCCAUACUUCCAUAGCAAGCUGGGAGGUUUGUGCUGUGCUGUUGGCUGUGAUCAGUGCCCCUCAUCGAAACCGGAACAGAGAGUGGCAGACUGCAUUGCUAGACCGUGCCCAGGAGGUCUGCCAGGAUGAAUCCUGCACUUCUUCUGCAGGAAAUCCUAAUUGCCUUCUGACUUCAGGGCAGGAGAGCAGAGGGAGCUGAGUUCCCAUCAGCUUCAAAGGGUUGUAAAUGGUUACCCCAAGGGCCAUGCUGAGUGGGAAACAACUGUGUAGGAACAGGAGCGGGUUGGAAACACUUGAAAGCUCCCACUCCUUUGUUCUUUCUGCUGUGUCUGAAGCCACUCAAAAGAAAGGGAUGGUCUUUCCAAACCUCCUUGAGUCAGCAAACAUAGUUGUUUUGAAGAGAAAACACUGGAAUCCAGUGGAGAGCAGUUGGUUAAAUCUGUGCCUUUCAGGGAGCCUUGGUGUCUGCUGCCUCUGUUUGGGCACAGAGUACUGAAGGACCUCAUUGUUUUAUGACUAGCUCACUCUGGACUUUAAAACACAGUUCAAGAAUGCUUACUUUCACAGAGAUUUUCCUUCGCUAAGAUAACAUGAUUAGGAAACCUUUUGAGGCAAUUCCAUGAAACUAUUAAUAGGUUCUUGUACCUGCAUUCCCAGUAAUUGGUACUUCAUAAUGCAUUUCAAGUGAUAAGGUGCUCAUGUAGAUAAAAGUGGUAUUUGGUGACAUUUGCUGUAGGAUUGCACUUGUAGUGAAUAAAAUGCAUACAUCGAUUAUUCAAUUCAAUAUAAGUUUGUGUGUUACUCUCUAUUUUUGCAGCCAGUAACAUUAUAAGGUAUAAUAAUGGAAUGUUUUUAAUAUCAUAGCAUUGAUUGUGUAUGUUGUCUCUGUAGCUAUGUUUGUAAAGCCAUUAUGAAGGUCACAUCACAUGAAACACAAGAAGUGCUGAGUCUCAAGAUAAAACAGUUGCUGAAUGACACUUUCCAAGUCGGACCGCUGUCAUUAGAUGUGGAACCCGAAGAUGUGGCUGUCAGGCUAAUAGGUGAUACUUCAUUAAAACCUCAUUUUGACUGCAGGUUUUUAAUCAAACUGAGGCUCUGUGGAGAGGUUAGGACUGGAAAACAUCCCUACAAGUAUCCCUGCAGGAUCCCAUCUGAUGCACAAGUUAUAGAAAGCAAUGCAAAGACAUCUUGCAAUUAAACCAAACCUACCACAGACAUUCUCUUAGUGCUGGUGCUGAUUGGAUUGAGUCUCAAAUUGCAAGCGAUCUUUUUGGUUUGGUAACAACCUUUAUCAGUCCUUAAAAUACAGAAGAAAGCCAGAGAUAAGAGAUAACAGACUGUACCUGAAAUUCAAAAACACGUUUUGUAUCAAAGACUUAAAAGGUCAAGUACAAAACUUCAAGCUUGGAGGAAAAGACAUGGAUGGGAUAACGAGGGGCAGUGUGAAAGCAGCUUCAGAUAGAUGAGAGAAGCCUGCAGGAUGGAUUGCUGUUAAAAUAUGAUUUGUGAUGCUGUGAAGCUAACACUUUACCUGAGAACUGACCUUGUCAAACAAAAGCAGAAAAAGGUUUCAGAACAGGCCAAAUACCUGGGGAAAAUGCUUUCUUACAGUCAGUAAUCUUGUAAAAUACUCCCAUACAGCUCACAAAAGAUGUGAAAACAACAGCUCAGUGCCAGCAGAAACAGAAGUUGAGGGCUGAACAGCUGUGUCAAGGAAGUCUGCUUUCUGACUAUCAAAUCUUUUUAAAGAUCUUUUAUGUCUUUCAUCCUCAGUAUUACUGGAUUGCCCAGAAAAUGUUUCACAGACCAAAUACAAGGGCAGCUAUUUCUGGCCUCAAACAAGUCCGGCUGCCACAGCAGAGGUCAGCUGCAGGAAAAACCCUCUGCAGUCUGCUUGGAGGAAGUGGUGAGUGACCAGAACAUCUCAUUUUGGUUCUUGAAUGGCAAAGGAGGAGGAGGGAGUGCAAGGCUUUGUGUGAUGGAGUCCAAAUGGAUGUCUGCAGUGGCGCACAGCAGUGCCAUGCCAGGAAGGAUGGCUAACUGAGUACAGACUGCAGGAAAAGGGAGUACUGUGUAAUUCCCAUCACCUGCAGCAAGUGCAAGCCAGCCUAGCAAGAAACUGACUGUCUGCUUGAGCUGGGAGGGGAAACAGAUGAACUGUAGCAUUUGUGCCAUCCACUCAUGGCACUGUGCCCACCACUGGCAGAAUAUCACUCCUUCCAGGUGCAUUUCAAAUCACUUUGGCUUUUGGACUCAGUUCCCACUGUGCUAAAUGAAUGCUAAGUCAGGUCUGACUUGCAAUUAAUUUUCACAAUCAGGCUAAUUGGUGAAGUAUUGACACAAGGUGCCCGGGGAGGUGGUGGAGUCACUAUCCCUGCAGGUGUUCAAGAAAAGGAUAGAUGACACACUGAGUGAUGUGGUAGAGUGGUCACAGGCAUUGAGUCAUAAAACCAUAGAAUCAUUAAGGUUGGAAAAGACCUCUAAGAUCAUCUAGUCCAACUAUCCUCCUACCACCAAUGUUGCCCACUAUUCCAUGUCCCUCAGUACUACAUCCACCCUGUCCUUAAACACCUCCAGGAGCAGUGACCCACCAUUCCCUGGGCAGCCUGUGACAGUGCAUCACUACUUCUUCUCAUAAGAAAUGCUUCCUAAUAUCCAGCCUGACAAUCUACUAUUCUAGUAAGCUGAUGGUUAGACUUAGUGACCUUACUGGUUUCAACCUUAAUGAUU
ensembl:lncRNA